GACGAACGCUGGCGGCGUGCUUAACACAUGCAAGUCGAACGGAAAGGCCCUGCUUUUGUGGGGUGCUCGAGUGGCGAACGGGUGAGUAACACGUGAGUAACCUGCCCUUGACUUUGGGAUAACUUCAGGAAACUGGGGCUAAUACCGGAUAGGAGCUCCUGCUGCAUGGUGGGGGUUGGAAAGUUUCGGCGGUUGGGGAUGGACUCGCGGCUUAUCAGCUUGUUGGUGGGGUACUGGCUUACCAAGGCUUUGACGGGUAGCCGGCCUGAGAGGGUGACCGGCCACAUUGGGACUGAGAUACGGCCCAGACUCCUACGGGAGGCAGCAGUGGGGAAUAUUGCACAAUGGGCGGAAGCCUGAUGCAGCAACGCCGCGUGCGGGAUGACGGCCUUCGGGUUGUAAACCGCUUUCGCCUGUGACGAAGCGUGAGUGACGGUAAUGGGUAAAGAAGCACCGGCUAACUACGUG
rnacentral:rRNA from 1 species